rnacentral:rRNA from 1 species
UGCUGCAUGGCCGUCGUCAGCUCGUGCCGUGAGGUGUUGGGUUAAGUCCCGCAACGAGCGCAACCCCCGCCGUUAGUUGCCAGCGGUUCGGCCGGGCACUCUAACGGGACUGCCCGCGAAAGCGGGAGGAGGAGGGGACGACGUCUGGCAGCAUGGCCCUUACGGCCUGGGCGACACACGUGCUACAAUGCCCACUACAAAGCGAUGCCACCCGGCGAACGGGGAGCUAAUCGACAAAAAGGGUGGGCCCAGUUCGGAUUGGGGUCUGCAACCCGACCCCAUGAAGCCGGAAUCGCUAGUAAUCGCGGAUCAGCCAUGCCGCGGUGAAUACGUUCCCGGGCCUU